rnacentral:rRNA from 1 species
UACGAGGGGGGCGAGCGUUGUUCGGAAUUAUUGGGCGUAAAGGGUGCGUAGGCGGUUUUGUAAGUCUUAUGUGAAAUCUAUGGGCUCAACUCAUAGACUGCAUGAGAAACUGCAGGGCUUGAGUAUGGGAGAGGUGAGUGGAAUUCCUGGUGUAGCGGUGAAAUGCGUAGAUAUCAUUUGGAACGCCAAUGGGUGAAAACAGGUAGCUGGGGAUGUGCUGA